UUUAUUUUUAAUGAUGUGAGAAAACUUUUGUUAGGCCACAAAAAUACUGCACUGUGAACAUUUCAGAAAAGGUAUGUCGAACUUGGAUUCAUAACAGCAUGAUUUUAAAUGGCUGUGAAUAAGUGAUAAGGAAAUGUACUGACUGCCAGAACUCCCCACCCUCAUUACAUCACCAGGACUUGAAGCCAAGGGUUAACACAGCAAGCUAUAAAGAGGGUGUGUUUAUAGUAGAGUUGAGUUAAAACCCAAUAGUAGAGUUAAGCUCUUUUUGUGAGACAGUGAUUACAACUGAAAGUUCUUUGACAGUGGUGGAAUUUACCAGAAGACCCAAGGAAUUGUACUGCAGAGAUAUUCCAAUUCAAAUAUUAUUAUUUCAGAAGUGUAUAGAGUGAUACUAAUUACAGAAUAUUGUAAAUAAUGGAUGAGGAAGAAAAAAAUCUGCUCUGCAGGAAAAAACCGUUUCUACUAAUGUCAGGAGAAUGAAUACAUCAAGAAUAGAGCUUAUGGAAACAACUCAUCAACAAGACUGCACACCUGUAUAUAUGCUUGAAAAAGCUACAAUGUGAAUUUCAUGUUUGCUAUUUAUAAACGUGUCCUUUGGUUAAUAUGUCUAGACAGACUGUGGGAGUUAAGUGAUUCUUCUAAGAAUUAGAUACUUGUCACUGCCUAUACCUGCAGUUGAGCUGAAUGGUACUUUGUAUGUUAAUAGUUGUUGUUCGGAUAAAUCAUACAAUUAAAGUGAUGUAUCAUCUUGUAUACUG
rnacentral:lncRNA from 1 species